GGGAAUCUACCCUUCUCUGCGGAAUAGCUCCGGGAAACUGGAAUUAAUACCGCAUACGCCCUUUGGGGGAAAGAUUUAUCGGGGAAGGAUGAGCCCGCGUUGGAUUAGCUAGUUGGUGGGGUAAAGGCCUACCAAGGCGACGAUCCAUAGCUGGUCUGAGAGGAUGAUCAGCCACAUUGGGACUGAGACACGGCCCAAACUCCUACGGGGGGCAGCAGUGGGGAAUAUUGGACAAUGGGCGCAAGCCUGAUCCAGCCAUGCCGCGUGAGUGAUGAAGGCCUUAGGGUUGUAAAGCUCUUUCAGGUGGGAAGAUAAUGACGGUACCACCAGAAGAAGCCCCGGCUAACUUCGUGCCAGCAGCCGCGGUAAUACGAAGGGGGCUAGCGUUGUUCGGAAUUACUGAGCGUAAAGCGCACGUAGGCGGACAUUUAAGUCAGGGGUGAAAUCCCGGGGCUCAACCCCGGAACUGCCUUUGAUACUGGGUGUCUUGAGUAUGGAAGAGGUCAGUGGAAUUGCGAGU
rnacentral:rRNA from 1 species